rnacentral:misc_RNA from 1 species
GAACGCACAUUGCGCCCCUUGGUAUUCCGAGGGGCAUGCCUGUUCGAGCGUCAUUAUCACCCUUCAAGCUUUGCUUGGUGUUGGGGCAUGCCAUCACAGGCAGCCCUUAAAAUCAGUGGCAGUAACCAUUAGGCUCUAAGCGUAGUAAUUCUUCUCGCUAUAGCGUCUGGUGGUCGCGCGCCAAAACCCCCCAUUUUUCAUGAUUGACCUCGGAUCAGGUAGGGAUACCCGCUGAACUUAAG